rnacentral:snRNA from 9 species
AUACUUACCUGGUAGGGGAGACACCAUGAUCAGGCAGGUGGUUUUCCCAGGGCAAGGCUCAUGCUCUGCACCACUUUUAAUUUUUUUUAAGAUCAUGGAGCAGAUCUUCCUGGA